AGCAUGCCGCGGUGAAUACGUUCCCGGGCCUUGUACACACCGCCCGUCACACCAUGAGAGUUGGAAAUACCCGAAGCCUGUGAGCUAACUUUAGAGGCAGCAGUCGAAGGUAGAGCCAAUGAUUGGGGUGAAGUCGUAACAAGGUAGC
rnacentral:rRNA from 1 species